rnacentral:lncRNA from 1 species
AUGCUGGCACUCAUCUCCCGCCUGCUGGACUGGUUCCGUUCGCUCUUCUGGAAGGAGGAGAUGGAGCUGAUGCUCGUGGGGCUGCAGUACUCGGGCAAGACCACCUUUGUCAAUGUCAUCGCGUCAGGUCAAUUCAGUGAAGAUAUGAUACCCACAGUGGGCUUCAACAUGAGGGAAGUAACAAGGUAACGUCACAAUAAAGAUCUAGGACAUAGGAGGACAAGCCCGAUUUCGAAGCAUGUGGGAGCGGUAUUGCAGAGAAGUCAAUGCUAUUGUUUACAUGACAGAUGCUGCAGAUCGUGAAAAGAUAGAAGCUUCCCGAAAUGAGCUACAUAAUCUUCUAAGAAACCACAGUUGCGAGGAAUUCCAGGGCUAAGUGCUUGGAAACAAGGGAGAUCUUCCUAAUGCCUUGGAUGAGAAACAGCUAAUUGAAAAAAUGAGCCUGUGUGCUAUUGAGGAUAGAGAAGUUUGCCGCUAUUCAAUUUCUUGCAAAGAAAAGGAUAAUAUAGAUAUCACACUUCAGUGGCUUAUUCAGCAUUCAAAAUCUGGAAGAAGCU